CUAAAAAGAAAAAAAAUCUAAUUUGAAUCAAAAGUGACAAUACGGUUAACUUAUAGCACUAAAUGUCAUGCUUUGCCACUCCCCCUUCCUCCCCUGUGUUCUCCCUGGGGUCGAGUGGCUACUGUAAUCUUCCAGUUCCUCACUGCUCCUUUGUGCGCUGUUUAGUGAUGCUGGGGCAGGAGAGACAUCAUACUAUGGUUCCUGGCAU